CAACACUUUGAUAAUACAGCAAACAUUUGGGUACAGCCCUGCAGCCCAGACACUCGGAGGUCGGAGUCGUCAGAUAUUCAAUGUCCUGAGAUGGGUCUGGUGAAGGUGUGCAUCACCGUGGUGCUGCCUCUGGUGGUGUACUGUGUGUGUGAACCCGGGCUUCAGGCCUGUGAGUGGGAGUCUUGGGGUGUGUGGAGCUCCUGCACCAGAACAUGUGCUGGGCUGAGAACCAGAACACGGAAGAUGUGCUGUGGAGUUCACCUUCCAGACUGUAUCGGUAAAUGUGACCGACCCAACACGUCUGUGGAGACAGAGCCAUGUGCGACACACUGCCCCAAUGGUGGAAGCUACAUUGAUGGCUACUGUCACUGUCCUCCUCUCAGAUAUGGAAUUUUGUUGUGAACGAGACGAGUCAACUGCGUUUGAUGGUGGCUGUGCCCGACACUGCACGUGGAUGAACUGGUUGUCAUGGGGAAACUGCAGCACAAACUGUGGAUGUGCAACACGAACCAGGAAAAGAUGGCACUGUUGUCAAAGCGGGUUGAGCAGUACUGAGUGUACAGCUGAUUGCAACUUCCGGGACAACAGCACUGAAGAGAGAGUCUGCACUAAACACUGCACCG